AGAGACUUUUUCAUUAGCAUUAAAUUUACUUUCUUACUUCUGAACAUAAAAGUUUUCUUCUAAGGACUUUAUGAUGAAAUGGAACAUUCAUUUAUGCUCAGGGUUUUGAGAUAGCAGAAACAGCAGUAAAACAGGCAGCCAAGCCAUAAAAGGAAACUGGCACUCAUUUUAUUAUCAUCUAAUAAUAUAAAUACAAAUGCAGACAAGCUCUGCCUUCAAGGAACUUACCAAUUUGAGGUAUAGUAGGUACUCAAUAUUUGAUGAAUGACAAAAUUUGGAAAAUACUACAAAGCAACUGCUAUUUUGAUUUACUAAAUUUAGAAAUUAAACUUUAAAAACUAAAAGGGUAGUUCAGACCAAUGAGUACACAAGAAUGUGACACUUACCACUUUCUGGAACUGUUCCAAAGGAAUCUAACUGGUGUCCGAGAAGAUGUGUUUGACCUAUGGUGCCAGCCUUCAGUUUCUCAGAAGACAUAUGGGACCCAGAUAAAUCAGACAUUGAAUGCGCUGACGAGAGUCGCUGAGGACCCAAGAGAAAAGGCUUUUUUGGUUUGGAUUUCAUCUGUAUUUCACCACUUGAAAAUUCACUAUUGGCAUCGGGCAUAACCAACCCAGACAUCCUCUAAAGGAGGAGAUACAGAAGUUCUCUUCCCAGGCCCACUCAAAGGGUUCUGGCUCAGACCCUUUUUCCCCAUUCCUUAAGAGAGAAAAAAGACAUAUAUUUUCAAGGUAUAGACUCCCAUCAAGGCACACUGACCCUGAAAAAUGGCUGAGCUAAAAUAAAAGC
ensembl:lncRNA novel transcript, antisense to RAB11FIP2